rnacentral:rRNA from 1 species
UCGAUUCCGUAAGUAGCGGCGAGCGAACGCGGAUUAGCCCAAACCAAUAAAGUUUUCUUUAUUGGGGUUGCGGACAUAUCAUAACGGAGAGGUAUCGUAAUUGAAGAGGUUUGGAAAGACCCACCACAGAAGGUAAUAGUCCUGUAUGUUAAACGAGAAGACUUUAGAUAUGAUCCAGAGUACCACGGGACACGUGAAACCCUGUGGGAAGCAG